GAUGAACGCUGGCGGCGUGCCUAAUACAUGCAAGUCGAGCGAACAGACGAGGAGCUUGCUCCUCUGACGUUAGCGGCGGACGGGUGAGUAACACGUGGAUAACCUACCUAUAAGACUGGGAUAACUUCGGGAAACCGGAGCUAAUACCGGAUAAUAUAUUGAACCGCAUGGUUCAAUAGUGAAAGACGGUUUUGCUGUCACUUAUAGAUGGAUCCGCGCCGCAUUAGCUAGUUGGUAAGGUAACGGCUUACCAAGGCGACGAUGCGUAGCCGACCUGAGAGGGUGAUCGGCAACACUGGAACUGAGACACGGUCCAGACUCCUACGGGAGACAACAGUAGGGAAUCUUCCGCAAUGAGCGAAAGCCUGACGGAGCAACGCCGCGUGAGUGAUGAAGGUCUUCGGAUCGUAAAACUCUGUUAUUAGGGAAGAACAAAUGUGUAAGUAACUAUGCACGUCUUGAAGGUACCUAAUCAGAAAGCCACGGCUAAAUACGUG
rnacentral:rRNA from 1 species